AGCGAACGCUGGCGGCAGGCCUAACACAUGCAAGUCGAACGAACCUUUCGGGGUUAGUGGCGGACGGGUGAGUAACACGUGGGAACGUGCCUUUAGGUUCGGAAUACCUCAGGGAAACUUGUGCUAAUACCGAAUGUGCCCUUCGGGGGAAAGAUUAAUCGCCUUUAGAGCGGCCCGCGUCUGAUUAGCUAGUUGGUUGAGGUAAUGGCUCACCAAGGCGACGAUCAGUAGCUGGUCUGAGAGGAUGAUCAGCCACAUUGGGACUGAGACACGGCCCAAACUCCUACGGGAGGCAGCAGUGGGUAAUCUUGCGCAAUGGGCGAAAGCCUGACGCAGCCAUGCCGCGUGAAUGAUGAAGGUCUUAGGAUUGUAAAAUUCUUUCACCGGUGACGAUAAUGACGGUACCCGGAGAAGAAGCCCCGGCUAACUUCGUG
rnacentral:rRNA from 1 species